rfam:Cavia porcellus supercont2_115 genomic scaffold, whole genome shotgun sequence.
GGCACUUGAGUAUGUUUUUGUCUUAACUUGGUGGACUAAAAACUUACUGAACAGGUGCAAAAAAUAUAACCCAGGACUCAUUGUUCAGUAUGAUUUUUGAUACAUAUAAGAAGGAAUAUU